rnacentral:lncRNA from 1 species
AAAGGAUUGGAGAAGCAUUAUGGGCAUACAGAACAACUCAUAGGACUCCAACACAAGCUACUCCUUAUUCUUUAGUGUAUGGUGUAGAAGCUGUCAUUCCUCUCGAGCAGCAGAUCCCCUCGCUAAGGAUUGCCAUACAAGAAGGCUUGACCGAAGAAGAAAAUGCUCGUCUGCGCUUGGAAGAGUUAGAAGCAUUGGAUGAGAGGAGAUUGGAAGCUCAACAAAGAUUGGAGUGCUAUCAAGCUCGAUUGUCAAAGGCUUUCAACAAGAAGGUACGACCGCGCUCUUUCCAAGUUGGAGAUUUGGU